UACGUAGGGUGCGAGCGUUAAUCGGAAUUACUGGGCGUAAAGCGUGCGUAGGCGGCUAUUUAAGACAGGUGUGAAAUCCCCGGGCUUAACCUGGGAACUGCAUUUGUGACUGCAUCGCUGGAGUGCGGCAGAGGGGGAUGGAAUUCCGCGUGUAGCAGUGAAAUGCGUAGAUAUGCGGAGGAACACCGAUGGCGAAGGCGAUCCCCUGGGCCUGCACUGACGCUCAUGCGCGAAAGCGUGGGGAGCAAACAGG
rnacentral:rRNA from 1 species